CCCCCAAGCCCAGCCAGGGGUCAGAGAGCAGGGGCUGUCUGGGGUCACUGCAGAAUGGAGAGGUGACCACGACUGUGUCGGUUAUACCCAGGAGGAACACUCUGCCUGCCGUGGAGAACAGCAGGUUACAUCGAGGGUGUUCAUUUGAGACCAGCAGCCAUCACCGUCCGAUCUAUUUCAACAACCAAGGCCAGUCUGUGGAGUGUGUCAACGAUGGCUUCAGUUCUUACCUG